CGCACCUUAUUUGAGAAUUUAAAUAGAACAAGAAGAAAUGUAAAAAAAGAAAAAAAAAAAUUAUAAAACAGAAAUGGAUGACAUAAUUUUGAUUCAUAAAACCUCGAAUGUUCAAGAAAGAGGUUUAUGAGAGGGUGCUCCCCGAACACCGGAGAAGUUUUCUUUCAGAGUGAGCAACUCAGCACAUGCAAUGGAGUUUCCUUCUUCCUCCAUCUUCUCCCCUCGCCCCUCAGACGACACCGUUUUCUACGCCAUAUACCCUGACUCCCCCACCGCUACAGCCACCGCCACCGCCACCGCGACGCUCCACUCCCUCCAUCUCCAAAUCCUCCAAACAAUAUCCCCCUUCACCCAAGACUACAUCUGGCAGCACCAACCCUUCACUCUCUCCGUUUCGACCUCCCCCAAUCCCUCUUGCCCCUGCUCCUCCUCAUCCAACCUCCCCCACCUCCACGGCCACCUCCGCUACGGUGACAACCUCGACGACGAGUGGUUUGCCGUCUUCCUCCUUUUCCAAAUCUCCAUCCGUUUCCCCUCCCUUUCCCUCCGCCUCUGGGACUCCGACGGCGACUUCCUCCUCAUUGAGGCCGCCUUCCACCUCCCUCGUUGGCUUAACCCCGACACCUCUCAUCACCGCCUCUUUCUCCGACUUGGAAACCUGCACAUCGUUCCCCGCGACCGCCUUCCCCACCCCUCCCUCGUCGACUCCCUCGCCUUCGUUGCCAAUUCCGGCCACGAAUCCCUCGCCUCCGACGCAAUCCAGCGAGCCGUGAAGAAACGCAUCGAGGACUAUCCCGAGCGCGCCGGGAGGAACAUGCAUAAGGUUAGGGUUAGGGUUCCGGUAUCCGUGGCUUGGGUUCUGAAGCACGAGCCGCGAUUGAUUUCACUUGCGGUGGAGGGGUUCUACGACAGGGAUGUAGACACGAUGAAAUUCGCAGGGAGUAUGGAGAGGUUCGUGGAGAGAGGGGCAACAGAGGAGUUAGUCUGCGUUUCGGUGAAGAUGUCGAGGGCGAUGUACGCGCAGUUGGUGCAGCAGCGGUUUCAGGCUCCGAAGUGUUACCCGACGAUGCCGUGUCGGGUUGAGAGGGAGGGGUUCGUGGAGGCGGAGCUGGGGAUGAAGAUAGCUUGUGGAUUGGAGAUGAUGUAUCAGCAGCGGAAGCGUGAUGGGGUGGAAGGGCAAGGGAGCACUUGGGAGGCGUUUAGGAAGAGCUUGGAGAACAGUGGCUACUUCCAAGGGCUACUUCCGGGUUCCUCUGAGUAUCAGAGAUUGGUGCAGAGUGCUCAAGAGUAUUAUAGGAAUACUUCUCUCCAUUCCCAGGCCAGUGAGUUGAUGAAUGCUCCUGUUAGACGUAUAGAUGAAAUUCUUGCUCUGCCCCACUCAGUGGACGAUUUUAGGGAUCAAGAGGUUCCUCCAUCUGAUGAUGAUUCCUGGCUUUAUGGCGGAGAGGAAGAAUUGAACUCUGUUCUUAUGGAAAGACAAAAGGAGAUGGAGCUAUAUGACUUAAAACACAAAAAGAAAGGGAAAGCAAAAGAGGAUCAAGAUACUAGUCCAUCAUCUGCUUUGAAUGCUGACGAGUUUGAUCCUGGAGAUAUAGCAAAGACCAUGCAGUCAUUUGUCCAUAAGUUGUCAAGUUACAAGGGUGCCGAAGCUCCUGAGGACAGGAAUAUGGAAGUGGACAUUGAUGUAGACCAAUUUAUUAAAGACAUGGGAUCAAUAAUGAAGUAUUCAGACAAUGAAGCUGCCAACGGCAAUAUUGAAGAAGGAUCAUCCUCUGACCCGGACUUUGAUGAUUCUGAGAGUGAUGUGGAUGAGAUGGGGGAGGAAGAUGAUGAUACUUUCUUGCGGACCUAUUCUGACGCUAUGAAUGAAGAACUAAAGGCAACCACCCUUCAGAAAAGUUUUGUUCGUGCUAAUGAACAGAUUCCAGCGAAUCAGGGAACAUCUAAUGCAUCAGAACAUAAUAUGGACGAUGAUUUUUCUCCUGUAGAUGUGGAUGUAAAUUUAGUAAAAAGCAUUCUUGAUUCCCUUUCUUCCCAACAAGGCCUUCCUGGUCCUGCUUCUAAUUUGCUCGGCCUCAUGGGGGUGCAGUUACCACAAGAUACAAAGAAGGGCAAUUGAAGAUACUGAAAUAUUUAUCUGGGUUUAAGUUUUGGGAUUCUUCAAUGAUAUUCAUCUGGAUGGCAUGUUUCCCAACCUGUUUACUAUCCUUUAUUUUUUUCACGUUGGGUAGGAACCUGCUUAGCAGAGGGCAUAUGGGAAUGCUUGCUAGUAAUGGUGUAACUUCACCAUGUUUUGGCACUUGACAAGGGCUUGCCUCCAGAGAAAAGCAAGACAACGUUCAUCUGUAGCUUGUUUAUUGGAUGUAACAGGGGUCAUACAGGAGAAGAUUGAUUGUUUCUUUGGUUUGGAGCCAAAGAUAAAAGACCUCAGAGGAACCUUGGCCCGAGACUCUGAUUGUCUUAGCUGGCCAUUUUGAUGUCUUUUUGAAACCGAGAAUCCAUGUUCAUCAUUCAAGUUCACCAGAGCCUUUUCUACGUCAAGUUGGAGAGCUGAUACAACAUCUAAACCCGCUUGAAGUUCAUCAGCAACCUUGUUGUUUUCCUGUUUCAUGUUCAAAAUCUCACCUUGGAACUUGGCAGCUUGGUAGCUUGUGAACCUGAAGUCAUCAUCUUCAGCACUGGAUUUCAAUGCUGCUGUUAUAUCCUCUUGGAUGUCACACAAAGAUGAGAAUCGAUUAUGCAGUUCUUCCUUCAACACGGCACCUUUUUCCAUCCAGACAGUUAUUUCACCCUGGAUCUCUGUUAGGUGUUUGUAAAUUGGUUUUGCAUCUGAUCUUAUAGAAUACUUUAUACUACUACUACCCUCUGACG